UGUCCAAUGCGGGAAUCGAACCCGGGUCGUAGUGGUCGAAAACCAAACGGUUUAACCAGCCUACCACCUACCCACAAAAAUGAC
rnacentral:tRNA from 1 species